UACGAAGGGGGCUAGCGUUGCUCGGAAUCACUGGGCGUAAAGCGCACGUAGGCGGAUUGCUAAGUCAGGGGUGAAAUCCUGGAGCUCAACUCCAGAACUGCCUUUGAUACUGGCGAUCUCGAGUCCGGGAGAGGUGAGUGGAACUGCGAGCGUAGAGGUGAAAUUCGUAGAUAUUCGCAAGAACACCAGUGGCGAAGGCGGCUCACUGGCCCGGUACUGACGCUGAGGUGCGAAAGCAUGGGGAGCGAACAGG
rnacentral:rRNA from 1 species